GACGAACGCUGGCGGCGUGCUUAACACAUGCAAGUCGAACGGAAAGGCCCCUUCGGGGGUACUCGAAUGGCGAACGGGUGAGUAACACGUGAGUAACCUGCCCUUGACUUCGGGAUAACUUCAGGAAACUGGGGCUAAUACCGGAUAGGAAUCCUUGCUGCAUGGUGGGGGUUGGAAAGCUUCGGCGGUUUUGGAUGGACUCGCGGCUUAUCAGCUUGUUGGUGGGGUAGUGGCUUACCAAGGCUUUGACGGGUAGCCGGCCUGAGAGGGCGACCGGCCACAUUGGGACUGAGAUACGGCCCAGACUCCUACGGGAGGCAGCAGUGGGGAAUAUUGCACAAUGGGCGGAAGCCUGAUGCAGCAACGCCGCGUGCGGGAUGACGGCCUUCGGGUUGUAAACCGCUUUCAGCAGGGGCGAAGCUUGUGGUGACGGUACCUGCAGAAGAAGCACCGGCUAACUACGUG
rnacentral:rRNA from 1 species